CAACCCGGCGCGGGCGCGAACGUCGGUGGCAACGUUCGUCGGCCCGGCAGAGAAGUUCGUCGGCGAGGGCAGCCCGUCGUUCUAGGGUUAGGGCGCCGGAUGGGAGGACAACCGGGGGAGGAGCCGCCGGAGGGGAAGGCGAGGGGCAGGAGACCCCCUCCCGGCGGCGGGGUGGCUCGACCCGGCAGGUGCCGGCGGAGGGAGCCGAGACGCUGGCGUCGGGAGGGAGGCAUCGGGGGCUUGGGGGAAAGGAAAAACGAAACGUUGUGAUGGCUAGUGCUCCUAGUAGCUCCCAAGUUCCAAGUUCCCAAGCAUCAGGUGUUGUAGUGGCUGCAGCUGAUACAACAGAAGAUAAUGUUGUGCACAUUUCGGAUGGGGAGGAAGAAGCUCCUGCUGCUCCUGGUAAAAGGAGGAAACUUUUCUAAAGUGUGGAAUGACUUCGUUCAAGUUUGUGUUGAUGGAGAAUGGAAGGCCAAACGCAAUCAUUGUAGCAAGAAACUUUCAGCCGUCUCAAGGAAUGGUUUAUGUAUGUGCCGUGCCCCCAUACCACUGAAGUUAUUUGUGAUGCAUUGCACAAGUGCCUCCAGAGCUGGGAUAUUGAUCGGAGGGUAUCAACCGUGA